rnacentral:rRNA from 1 species
GAUGAACGCUGGCGGCGUGCCUAAUACAUGCAAGUCGAGCGAACAGACGAGGAUCUUGCUCCUCUGACGUUAGCGGCGGACGGGUGAGUAACACGUGGAUAACCUACCUAUAAGACUGGGAUAACUUCGGGAAACCGGAGCUAAUACCGGAUAACAUGUUGAACCGCAUGGUUCAACAGUGAAAGACGGUCUUGCUGUCACUAAUAGAUGGAUCCGCGCCGCAUUAGCUAGUUGGUAAGGUAACGGCUUACCAAGGCUACGAUGCGUAGCCGACCUGAGAGGGUGAUCGGCCACACUGGAACUGAGACACGGUCCAGACUCCUACGGGAGGCAGCAGUAGGGAAUCUUCCGCGAUGGGCGAAAGCCUGACGGAGCAACGCCGCGUGAGUGAAGAAGGUCUUCGGAUCGUAAAACUCUGUUAGUAGGGAAGAACAAAUGUGUAAGUAACUAUGCACGUCUUGACGGUACCUAAUCAGAAAGCCACGGCUAACUACGUG